rnacentral:tRNA from 1 species
GCGGAUGUAGUUUAGUGGUAGAACUUCAGCCUUCCAAGCUGAUCGUGUGGUCGCAUCCUCAUCCGCUCCA